CUCAGGGCCACACCCGCCGGUUCCCUGCUGCUGCUCCCGGGGCAGGAGCUGGGGACGUGGGUGCCUCCCCGGCCUAGACGCUCUGGCAUACUAACUUCUUCUCAAUUCAAACUGCUUCAAAACACUUCCCAGACAGCUGUGAAGACAGAGGGAGGUCGCUCCCGCCUCCCGGCUCUACCCAGCCCAGCAGAACUGUCCGUGAAACCGUUAGUGAGGUGAAGCUGAGCCCCGGGGUUGUGCAGAGGGUGAUGUAAUCCCUUCUCAGACUGUGCUCACCGUGCCAUUUCCCUGGCCGACAGACAUGCCCUCCUAUGGGAGACACGGAGGUCCUCGUGCUCUCAGAUGAGCACUAGGGGAACCAAGAAUGUUAAACACACAGCGUUGUUCCUUCAGAGGAGCAGGAGUGGUUAACAGCCUGGUGACCUUUGCGCUAUCUGUGUGGCUCAGACCACACCGGACCCUUAUGAGCUUGUCAAUCUAUAGAACUCAUCUUUACGGAAGAUGUCACACGUACUUUACAAAGACACAAGUCUUAAACUUUAUUAUACACGCGAGAAUGAGUUCAUUAUCACUAGGAAUUUUUUUCACCAAAUUGUGCUGUGCCUGCGAUAUGCCUAAAUAAACUACUCAGGGUCAGAACCAACACCAGCUACUUAGUCAUGAUGAACCGAACUGCCUUCUUGCUUCUAGCUGCAGGUCCUUACUCUGCUGGCCAUGGUGGUUGCAGAGAUCCUUUGCAUGCUCCCUUGCCCUAAUCACACUUGCUGCUCACCUACCAGCUGCUGUUCAGCUGUCCCCUCAACCUGCCAGAGGUUCCAGAUUUAAUUAUUUAUUAUGCAUACAAUGUUCUGCUGGCAUACAUGCCCACACACCAGAAGAGGGCACAAGAUCUCAUUAUAGAUGGUCGUGAGCCGCCAUGUGGUUGCUGGGAACUGAACUCAGGACCUCUGGAUGAACAGCUGGUGCUGUUAAGCUCGGAGCCAUCUCUUCAACUCCCGAUGUGCUUUUCAUUGAUGUUAUCUACAAACCCC
rnacentral:lncRNA from 1 species